rnacentral:rRNA from 1 species
GGCUAAACCAUGCACCGAAGCUGCGGCAGCGACACUUUAGUGUUGUUGGGUAGGGGAGCGUUCUGUAAGCCGUUGAAGGUGUGUCGUGAGGCAUGCUGGAGGUAUCAGAAGUGCGAAUGCUGACAUAAGUAACGAUAAAGCGGGUGAAAAGCCCGCUCGCCGGAAGACCAAGGGUUCCUGUCCAACGUUAAUCGGGGCAGGGUGAGUCGACCCCUAAGGCGAGGCCGAAAGGCGUAGUCGAUGGGAAACGGGUUAAUAUUCCCGUACUUGGUGUUACUGCGAAGGGGGGACGGAGAAGGCUAUGUUGGCCGGGCGACGGUAGUCCCGGUUUAAGCGUGUAGGCUGGUUUUCCAGGCAAAUCCGGAAAAUCAAGGCUGAGGCGUGAUGACGAGGCACCACGGUGCUGAAGCAACAAAUGCCCUGCUUCCAGGAAAAGCCUCUAAGCAUCAGGUAACAUCAAAUCGUACCCCAAACCGACACAGGUGGUCAGGUAGAGAAUACCAAGGCGCUUGAGAGAACUCGGGUGAAGGAACUAGGCAAAAUGGUGCCGUAACUUCGGGAGAAGGCACGCUGACACGUAGGUGAAGUGAUUUACUCAUGGAGCUGAAGUCAGUCGAAGAUACCAGCUGGCUGCAACUGUUUAUUAAAAACACAGCACUGUGCAAACACGAAAGUGGACGUAUACGGUGUGACGCCUGCCCGGUGCCGGAAGGUUAAUUGAUGGGGUCAGCGCAAGCGAAGCUCCUGAUCGAAGCCCCGGUAAACGGCGGCCGUAACUAUAACGGUCCUAAGGUAGCGAAAUUCCUUGUCGGGUAAGUUCCGACCUGCACGAAUGGCGUAAUGAUGGCCAGGCUGUCUCCACCCGAGACUCAGUGAAAUUGAACUCGCUGUGAAGAUGCAGUGUACCCGCGGCAAGACGGAAAGACCCCGUGAACCUUUACUAUAGCUUGACACUGAACAUUGAGCCUUGAUGUGUAGGAUAGGUGGGAGGCUUUGAAGCGUGGACGCCAGUCUGCGUGGAGCCGACCUUGAAAUACCACCCUUUAAUGUUUGAUGUUCUAACGUGGACCCGUAAUCCGGGUUGCGGACAGUGUCUGGUGGGUAGUUUGACUGGGGCGGUCUCCUCCUAAAGAGUAACGGAGGAGCACGAAGGUUGGCUAAUCCUGGUCGGACAUCAGGAGGUUAGUGCAAUGGCAUAAGCCAGCUUGACUGCGAGCGUGACGGCGCGAGCAGGUGCGAAAGCAGGUCAUAGUGAUCCGGUGGUUCUGAAUGGAAGGGCCAUCGCUCAACGGAUAAAAGGUACUCCGGGGAUAACAGGCUGAUACCGCCCAAGAGUUCAUAUCGACGGCGGUGUUUGGCACCUCGAUGUCGGCUCAUCACAUCCUGGGGCUGAAGUAGGUCCCAAGGGUAUGGCUGUUCGCCAUUUAAAGUGGUACGCGAGCUGGGUUUAGAACGUCGUGAGACAGUUCGGUCC